AGCUUUGCGCAGUGGCAGUAUCGUAGCCAAUGAGGUUUAUCCGAGGCACGAUUAUUGCUAAUUGAAAGUUAGCAGGUGAAGGCCCAAGUAAUUGUGUCCCUGCCACACACAUGGAAGGCCUAGAUUUAAGUUCUGGGACCAUGACUGCAGA
rnacentral:snRNA from 1 species